CCUCUCUAGCUCUCGACUUUCUCCAUCAAGGCAUUCUCAUCAUCGAUCGAACCUGUGAGAGAAGUAGCGCUAGCGCCGAGGGUCUCAUGUUUGCCUUCAAAUCGUUUUUGCCUGAUCAGAGAACCCUUUAGUUCAUGGAGCUUUUCCGUCUCUUUGUCUUUCGGCAGAAAUUCCGGUGGAACUCCUUGUGAACGGAGUACCAACGGUCUCUCUGUACAUUAGAAAGGUUUAUUUUGGUUGAUUAUUUGGGAUAUCGUUUGGUUCGUGUCUUCCUUCAAAUCAUUUUUUCCUGAUCAGAGAACCCUCUAGUUCACGCGGUACCAAAGGUUUGUCUCUGUACAUUUGGAAGGGUUUAUUUUGGUUGAUUUUUAUUUGGGAUAUUGUUUGGUUCAUGUUUGCAGAAUACAGAAAUUUAUCUUCGUCGAGCUUCGGCUAAGUGAUAACUGAAACUGUUCUCAAAUUAUAAAGUGAAAAGUCUACCAUUGUACAGAGAUAUAGAAAGGGUCGUUGUUCCCAUUACUGGUAGCUCUAGCUGGCACUGUCAAUUCUUAUUACCUAUUGUGCUGGAGUGGAGCGAAAAGUCUACCUUACUGAUUGUUCCAGCCGGCCCCCUCUCUCGUUUGGGAUUGGAGUAUCCUUAAUUCUUGCUAAAAUUGAACUCUUUUUCUGCAAUAUAAACCACAAUCUUUGCAUCUUGCUUUUAAAAAUCUGAGUCUUUUAGGUUUGAGUUAAAAUCUGUGAAUUGUAUCUCACAUGUUCCUUGAAAUUUCUUUGUACUUGAUUAAUUAUUGACCAUAUGACAUUGUCAUUCUUGUAAUCAGUCUGUGCUCCUACA